rnacentral:rRNA from 4 species
GUGAGUAACGCGUGAGAAUCUGGCUCCAGGUCGGGGAUAACAGUUGGAAACGACUGCUAAUACCGGAUGUGCCGAAAGGUGAAAGAUUUAUUGCCUGGAGAUGAGCUCGCGUCUGAUUAGCUAGUUGGUGGUGUAAGGGACCACCAAGGCGUCGAUCAGUAGCUGGUCUGAGAGGAUGAUCAGCCACACUGGGACUGAGACACGGCCCAGACUCCUACGGGAGGCAGCAGUGGGGAAUUUUCCGCAAUGGGCGAAAGCCUGACGGAGCAAUACCGCGUGAGGGAGGAAGGCUCUUGGGUCGUAAACCUCUUUUCUCAAGGAAGAAGAAAGUGACGGUACUUGAGGAAUAAGCAUCGGCUAACUCCGUGCCAGCAGCCGCGGUAAUACGGAGGAUGCAAGCGUUAUCCGGAAUGAUUGGGCGUAAAGGGUCUGCAGGUGGAACUGAAAGUCUGCUGUUAAAGAGUUUGGCUUAACCAAAUAAAAGCGGUGGAAACUACAGAACUAGAGUGCGGUAGGGGCAAAAGGAAUUCCUGGUGUAGCGGUGAAAUGCGUAGAUAUCAGGAAGAACACCGGUGGCGAAAGCGUUUUGCUAGACCGUAACUGACACUGAGGGACGAAAGCUAGGGGAGCGAAUGGGAUUAGAUACCCCAGUAGUCCUAGCCGUAAACGAUGGAUACUAGGCGUGGCUUGUAUCGACCCGAGCCGUGCCGGAGCUAACGCGUUAAGUAUCCCGCCUGGGGAGUACGCACGCAAGUGUGAAACUCAAAGGAAUUGACGGGGGCCCGCACAAGCGGUGGAGUAUGUGGUUUAAUUCGAUGCAACGCGAAGAA